CUGGCGGCAGGCUUAACACAUGCAAGUCGAGCGGGGGAAGGUAGCUUGCUACUUGACCUAGCGGCGGACGGGUGAGUAAUGCUUAGGAAUCUGCCUAUUAGUGGGGGACAACAUCUCGAAAGGGAUGCUAAUACCGCAUACGUCCUACGGGAGAAAGCAGGGGAUCUUCGGACCUUGCGCUAAUAGAUGAGCCUAAGUCGGAUUAGCUAGUUGGUGGGGUAAAGGCCUACCAAGGCGACGAUCUGUAGCGGGUCUGAGAGGAUGAUCCGCCACACUGGGACUGAGACACGGCCCAGACUCCUACGGGAGGCAGCAGUGGGGAAUAUUGGACAAUGGGGGGAACCCUGAUCCAGCCAUGCCGCGUGUGUGAAGAAGGCCUUAUGGUUGUAAAGCACUUAAGCGAGGAGGAGGCUACUUUAGUAAUACCUAGAGAUAGUGGACGUACUCGCAGAAUAAGC
rnacentral:rRNA from 1 species